CUAGAGAAGCACUGCCGUCCGAUCGAGCACGUCAUGAUGGAGACCGACGCGAAGGGGUCGCUGAUCGAGCGGCUGGAUCACGUGGAGGACCGUGUGCUGAAGCUGUGCGUGCAGCUGGAGGAGGAGUUUAUGGAGGCUAGUGCCGAAAGGAAGAGAGAUGAUGAGGCGGAGAUGGUCAAGAGGAGAGAGAGAGAAGAGAGAGCAGAGAUGACCAGGAGGAGUGAGAAAGAGGAGAAGAUUGUUAUCAGUGAGAUUGAGAGAACUCAGAUUGAUGUGAUUAAGAAGAAGAAGAAGAAGAAGAAGGGACUGAAGGAACUUGU
rnacentral:lncRNA from 1 species